rnacentral:rRNA from 1 species
GAUCAUGGGCUCAGGAUGAACGCUAGCGACAGGCCUAACACAUGCAAGUCGAGGGGCAGCGAAGAGGUAGCAAUACCUUUGUCGGCGACCGGCGCACGGGUGAGUAACACGUAUGCAAUCCACCUGUAACAGGGGGAUAACCCGGAGAAAUCCGGACUAAUACCCCAUAAUAUGGGCGCUCCGCAUGGAGAGCCCAUUAAAGAGAGCAAUUUUGGUUACAGACGAGCAUGCGCU